rnacentral:misc_RNA from 1 species
ACGUACCGCGCCAAACCGGCGGUCCCAACCGGACUGUCGGGGCGGCGGGUGUAUCCAACCCUUGCCUUUUUAGUACCCUCUCGUUUCCUCGGCGGGUUCGCCCGCCAGCGAGGACCCCCAAAAACCUUUAUAGUUGACAACUUUGUCUGAAAAACAUACAAUAUCA